rnacentral:rRNA from 1 species
GACGUAGGGCGCGAGCGUUGUCCGGAUUUAUUGGGCGUAAAGAGCUCGUAGGCGGUUGGGUAAGUCGGGUGUGAAAACUCUGGGCUCAACUCAGAGACGCCACCCGAUACUGGCUCUGGACUUGAGUCCGGUGAGGGGAGUGGGGGAAUUCCUGGAUGUAGCGGUGAAAUGACGCAGACUAUCAGGAGGAACACCCGUGGCGAAGGCGGCCAUCUGGACCGAGCACGUGACGCUGGAGGCACGAAAGCGUGGGGAGCAAACAGG